rnacentral:rRNA from 1 species
AGAGUUUGAUCAUGGCUCAGAACGAACGCUGGCGGAAUGCUUUACACAUGCAAGUCGAACGAGUACUUUUUACGAGUGGCGAACGGGUGAGUAACGCGUGGGAACCUACCUUGAGGUAAAGAAUAACUGCAGGAAACUGUAGCUAAUGCUUUAUGUGCCCUAAGGGGGAAAGAUUUAUCGCCUUUUGAGGGGCCCGCGUCAGAUUAGCUUGUUGGUGAGGUAAUGGCUCACCAAGGCUAUGAUCUGUAGCUGGUUUGAGAGGAUGAUCAGCCACAUUGGGACUGAGACACGGCCCAGACUCCUACGGGAGGCAGCAGUGGGGAAUCUUGGACAAUGGGGGAAACCCUGAUCCAGCAAUUCCGCGUGAAUGAUGAAGGCCUUAGGGUUGUAAAAUUCUUUUAGUAAGGAAGAUGAUGACGGUACUUACAGAAAAAGCUCCGGCUAACUCCGUGCCAGCAGCCGCGGUAAUACGGAGGGGGCAAGCGUUGUUCGGAAUUACUGGGCGUAAAGAGCGAGCAGGUGGUUCAUUAAGUCAAUUGUGAAAGCUCAAGGCUUAACCUUGAAAUUGCUUUUGAUACUGAUGGACUAGAGUUUGGGAGAGGAUAGUGGAAUUCUAAGUGUAGAAGUGAAAUUCGUAGAUAUUUAGAGGAACACCGACAGCGAAGGCAACUAUCUGGCCCUUUACUGACACUCAGAAGCGAAAGCUUGGGUAGCAAACAGGAUUAGAUACCCUGGUAGUCCAUGCUGUAAACGAUGAGUGCUAGAUGUUAGAAGUUUUACUUUUAGUAUCGAAGCUAACGCGUUAAGCACUCCGCCUGGGGAGUACGGCCGCAAGGCUAAAACUCAAAUGAAUUGACGGGGACCCGCACAAGCAGUGGAGCAUGUGGUUUAAUUCGACGCUACGCGAAGAACCUUACCAGCUCUUGACAUGCUAAGUUUUGAAUUUAAGAGAUUAAAUUCUUCAGUUCGGCUGGGCUUAGUACAGGUGCUGCAUGGCUGUCGUCAGCUCGUGUCGUGAGAUGUUCGGUUAAGUCCGGCAACGAGCGCAACCCUCAUCUUCAGUUACUAACAGGUUAAGCUGAGGACUCUGGAGAAACUGCCGUUGGAAAAGCGGAGGAAGGCGAGGAUGACGUCAAGUCCUCAUGGCCCUUAUGGGCUGGGCUACACACGUGCUACAAUGGUAAUUACAAUAGGUCGCAAAAUGGCAACAUUAAGCUAAUCCUCAAAAAUUAUCUUAGUUCGAAUUGUUCUCUGAAACUCGAGAGCAUGAAGUUGGAAU